GUGAGGAAUAUUGGUCAAUGGGCGGAAGCCUGAACCAGCCAUGCCGCGUGCAGGACGACGGCCCUACGGGUUGUAAACUGCUUUUCCGGGGGAAGAAUAACCCCCCUGCGGGGGGGGAUGCCGGUACCCCGGGAAUAAGGAUCGGCUAACUCCGUGCCAGCAGCCGCGGUAAUACGGAGGAUCCUAGCGUUAUCCGGAUUUACUGGGUUUAAAGGGUGCGUAGGCGGACCCCUAAGUCCGCGGUGAAAGUCUGCGGCUCAACCGUAGGAUUGCCGUGGAUACUGGGGGUCUUGGAUUCGGUCGGGGCGGGCGGAAUGCGUGGUGUAGCGGUGAAAUGCAUAGAUAUCACGCAGAACGCCGAUAGCGAAGGCAGCUCGCCGGGCCGACAUCGACGCUGAGGCACGAAAGCGUGGGGAUCAAACAGGAUUAGAAACCCGGGUAGUCC
rnacentral:rRNA from 1 species